rnacentral:rRNA from 1 species
GAUGAACGCUGGCGGCGUGCCUAACACAUGCGAGUCGAACGAGAUGCGUAUUGGAAAGCUUCGGCCGGAAGAUGCGUUAUCUAGUGGCGGACGGGUGAGUAACACGUGGGUAACCUGCCUUAUGGAGGGGGAUAACAGAGAGAAAUCACUGCUAAUACCGCAUAAGCACACAUUGCCGCAUGGCAGAGUGUGAAAAGAUUUAUCGCCAUAAGAUGGACCCGCGUCUGAUUAGCCAGUUGGCAGGGUAAAAGCCUACCAAAGCAACGAUCAGUAGCCGAUCUGAGAGGAUGACCGGCCACAUUGGGACUGAGACACGGCCCAAACUCCUACGGGAGGCAGCAGUGGGGAAUAUUGCACAAUGGGGGAAACCCUGAUGCAGCGACGCCGCGUGAGUGAAGAAGUAUUUCGGUAUGUAAAGCUCUAUCAGCAGGGAAGAUAAUGACAGUACCUGACUAAGAAGCCCCGGCUAACUACGUG